UUGAUGGUGUUCCUGAUGUCCCGGGUGGUGGAUUCCCCUUCCUUUGUGCUGUGUGUACCCCUGGUCUUGGUUUUCCUCCCUCACCGAAGUGUACAUGCAAGUGACAGGAGUGGCUGAGGCUAUCACCACUUCAGGGCAUAAAUGGUGCGGUGUAUUCCUGACCCUCUCUUGCUCUUCAGCUCAGAGGCCUACUUCCAGGCUGCUGUAAUUCCUGGUCGCCUCACUUCCUCUUUCCCGCAGCCGUUCAGACUACAGAUACUGUCGCCACGUAAUUGCUCUUUGGCUGUUCUUCCACCACCACUAAAGCAUGGCGCUCACCCCUCUUCCCCCUCAGGUGAUCGUUGAGAUGGCCUGACUGAAUCCUGCGACUGCAGCGUGGCGGCAGCGUGGAGACAGGGGCUGCUGCUUUGCUUUGCUUGGCCUCUGUUCGUUUCUUUUUGUGCUUUGGUUGUGCCACACACCCACUUAACUGUUGCUGCCUGGCCUGUUUCCUCUCUUCGCCUGCUGUGCCUCGGCCUGCUACUUCCCGAGUGCCACUCAGCUCGGCCCUGGGCUUCGUUUGCGGCUCUCCAACCUUAAAAUGCUAUGGCUGGCGUGGUGUUGGGGCUAAUGUAGCUUGGGAGUUUGUUUUAAUUGUUAAUUCAAUUUUACUGGUCAUUUAGUGUGUAGCC